AUUGAACGCUGGCGGCAGGCCUAACACAUGCAAGUCGAACGAGUGGCGGACGGGUGAGUAAUGUCUGGGAAACUGCCUGAUGGAGGGGGAUAACUACUGGAAACGGUAGCUAAUACCGCAUACCAUCCGAUGUCACCAGAUGGGAUUUGCUUGUUGGUGGGGUAACGGCUCACCAAGGCGACGAUCCCUAGCUGGUGUGAGAGGAUGACCAGCCACACUGGACCUGAGACACGGUCCCGACUCCUACGGGAGGCAGCAGCGGGGAAGAUUGCACAAUGGGCGCCAGCCUGAUGCAGCCAUGCCGCGUGUAUGAAGAUGGCCUUCGGGUUGUAAAGUACUUUCAGCGGGGAGGCGUUACCCUCAGAAGAAGCACCGGCUAACUCCGUGCCAGCAGCCGCGGUAAUUC
rnacentral:rRNA from 1 species